rnacentral:rRNA from 1 species
UACGGAGGAUCCGAGCGUUAUCCGGAUUUAUUGGGUUUAAAGGGUGCGUAGGCGGCCAAUUAAGUCAGGGGUGAAAUACGGUGGCUCAACCAUCGCAGUGCCUUUGAUACUGAUUGGCUUGAAUCCAUUUGAAGUGGGCGGAAUAAGACAAGUAGCGGUGAAAUGCAUAGAUAUGUCUUAGAACUCCGAUUGCGAAGGCAGCUCACUAAGCUGGUAUUGACGCUGAUGCACGAAAGCGUGGGGAUCGAACAGG